rnacentral:lncRNA from 7 species
AAUCUCACUCCCAGCACUGGUAAAAAGAGGGAAGAGGGGGAAAAAAAAAACUUACUCUCAAUUAAACCCUCUUUGCACAAACACUCUUUGCCUUCUUCCAGCACAGCUUUCAGUGCUAGCAGCACUUAAGCUGAUUUCUCAUCAUUCUGGAGACCAAUGAGCAGAACUCAACCAUUCCCCACAUCAGCUCAACCUCUGCUCCUCUCAGAAGUUGAAGCCUUCGGGUUUGCUGUAUUAGAAAGUCACAAUUCUGUGAAGUGACAGUCAUGGGAAGUGACAACUCUUGGGAAGAUUGAAGCAUCUGUCUUACUUGGUCUGUGCCCCCUUGCACCGGGAGAGAACUGACGUGACAUGAUCAGAACAGAAGUUUGGACUAAAUCUUUCACAGCCUGUUAGGGAAGGCUGAGACGGCGUUUGGAGGAUUUUGUUUGGGCACUGGGACCUCUGAGACUGCUCUCCGCAUUGUCUACUGGUGAUACCCAUCUCUCAAUGAUCAGCAGUCACAAACACCACAACAUUGCAUCUUCUCUUGAAACAUGCCUAUGAGUACAGGAAAAGUAGAAGAAAAUCAAUCCCUUUGCCUUGAGGUCUUCACAAGACUCUACCUGUCUGACUUGGUAGUUCCUUGCACCAGAAAACAAGAGUAGCUACAUGGUGCUUAGAAAUCAACAGACUCACAGCUGGUUCAAUUUCCACCAGGAUCUUAUUUUCAUGGUCCUGAAGGCCAGCUUGUACAUUAGGAAGGGACUGAUGGCCAAUCAUUUUGUGUCUGAAGCAGAAGUGACAAGAUUCUUACUAUAGUAACCUGUGGCAAGACAAACUUCAAAUGUCUGCUUCUCCCCUGGUGUAGGAAUAAGCCCCAUUGUGUUGUACCACAGAUACCUAAAACAAUUGUCAUGUGUGCAGGAAAGCAUCAUCACUGGGCCCCUUCCAACCUGGGAUAUUUUGUGAUUCUAUGAUCAUUUGCUUAACUUUGCCUUCCUGUCUCCAUAUCAAUGCAUAUACUUUUCACAUCUGUGUUUAAAGGCAGAUAUUAUACUACAAAUGUUGUGGAUCAAGGCAAAACGAUUUGGGUAACAAGGAAUUCGCAAAAGUAUUAUUUAAGUUUUCAUCCACUACAGUGAAAGUCUGCAUCAUUUGCUGAAGAAACUUUCGUGCUUCAUCCUUUUAAGCAAGAAUAGCUGAACAAUGUCUGCUGCUGAAGGCAAUGAUAAUCACACUUCCUAAGAGGAUAAACAUUCACUCAUUUUUAUGUUAUUUAUUCCUUCAGUUAUCUUAAACUUAAAAAAAUAAUGAGUGCUUAUCUUCAUAAAAGUGUCAAAAGGCAGAAAAAUUCCUCUACAGCUGAAGAAAAACUAAAACACAAAAGCAAAAUGGAAGCAUGGGGAAGUUUUAUCAUAUUACUUAAAAAGGACCCAACACCAACGCAGCAGGGACAAAAGAGGGUGCUCUGUAAUGAACCAGAAGGAACGAUUACAUCAUGUGUGUAAUGCCACCCAGUGCAGACGCUUCAUACUUCACACUUGAAGAAGAAACGGGGUUGGUUUAUACAACAACCAAUCUUUGCGCAAGGAGGUGCACAGCCUGCUUGGGACCCAUGACAAAAGGAAUUCAUGUUUUGUUUUACUUAUAUGCUGAGUAUCAUUCUCACCCCACUACACAAUAUACAGCAGUACGCAACUGAGCCUCAGGAGAAGGUGUUUGUGCCAGAACAAAGAAACGUAUCAGAACAAAGCACAUUAAAUUUCAUGGGAACCAUUUGCAGGAAACUGCCCUUUUACUUCUGUCCAAGCUGUUGGUAGGUUGGUAGCAAAUUAUGAAAACAACAAUUACUAUAAUUAAACAGGAGGCAGCUAUUAAGCUCUGUUUUCCAAACCCUUUCUUCCAGCCACUACCAUGUUGAAAGGUGAAGCUUCAUGGUAACUCUGCAAGGAACAUUGUAGGUUGUCUUUAGUAAGAGCAUAAUAGGGGAACAUCACAGAAUUAAGUGGCAAUAAUUAUACAUUUCCUUUUUCUUCUGUCAGAGGUCACAGUUAAAGUCACAGAAAUAAAGUUCCCUUAGUAUCACAAAAGGAGAGAGAAGAAUAACUUCGGGGUCUUCAGAAAACAGUUUUUCUCUUUCUCCUUUUAUCUAAGCAGAACCUAACAGUAAAACUGCAAAAAUAAAAUUGAACCUGAGUAUUUCUGUAGCUAUAAUAUUCUAUACGACAACAGAAAUAUAUACACGCAUAUAUUAAUGCAUAAAAUGCCACUAUACUUCACUACCCCUUGUGUGCUAAUAAUCUGACACAUAGCAAUUUAAAUUAUAGCACAGUUUUUAAAGUUAAAAUCACGUUAAAUAAACCCUUAAAGAAAAUUUGGAGUUCUGAUAUGAGUUUGCAAAAUUUCCUGACACGAGAUAUCAAAAUGACAUUUCAACACCUAGUUUCUAUUGUGAGUUUCUAUUAAAACCUAUGAUUUCAAUAAAAAAAAGAAAAAAUCCAUUGAAGAAAGAGUUUUCAGGUUGUUUCAAACGUACAUUUUGAGAAGUCUUAUUAUUUCAAGCUGCUGAAAUAAUACAUUUUUCAGUACCAAUAUUAAGUGUAAAAUCUGCUCUUCACACUGAAAUCUUGUUUGUACAGAAGUGGCAAGUGUGUAGACUCAAUAAAGGCAACAAUAC